UCUCAUCAUACCACCUCACAUUGGACAAGUUUCAGCAAUCAUUUAUUGAGCACUUGAAUACAGACGAAGUUCUGUUCCAGGAUUCAGAGGGAAUGGUCUUAUCUACCUCCCACCUUUCCUACAUUUAUCUCUUCUUUCUCUUUCUCAGCACAAGCUCAGCCCAGCACUAUGUUUUUCAAUCCUCUUAGCAUCAGAAUAAUCCAAGGAGCUUAAAAACGUACACACGUAAAACGAUGUGGGAACGUCACCCCCAGGAAUUCUGAUUCUGCUCUUCUAGGGUCAGACACAAGCACAGGGGAGGCAGCAGUUGGUGAAGAAAUAGGAAGUAUAAUAGAUGGGAGAACCAUGUCCUCAUAUGCUAUGUCAGGAUGUCAGCAGAUUACGUCAGAAAUCGUUUCACAGGUUGAGAAGAAGAAAUGUACUCAAAGAGCUGUACUUAAGGAAUUAAAACUGAGGCACCCCAACUGCACCUGGACCUGAUUUAGAUGACAAGAUUUUGGAUAUUGAGCUCACACUGCAAUGGGAAGAGACUUUGCAGUCCUUGGAGGGACUAGGAGCUGAAGAAGGCAGCUACCUGGAAAUGCCAAUGGAAGCUGACCAAAAAAGCCCCAACAAAAGUCUGCUCUCUCUACCAAAAUGACCAAGAAAGAGGAAGCCUAGCAAGACUAAAACCUUUCAGACAAUAACCACUUGACUGUAGCCAAACACCACAGAAAAAACUAUGACCUCGUCCUCACCACCAAAGACAGAAUGGGGAGCCUAGACUUCCACCCUUGACAGGGUGUAAUGAGGCAUCCCAUGAUGGACCCCUCAAGGCUCCAUCUCCUACCAGGGUGAUGUUGGAGACAAACUGGGAGCUGGGAUUUUUAUCCCCAGAGGGUGGUAAUGAGUCCUCAUCCAUCCCCCACUGCCACCACCACCACCACCACUGCAGUAUCAAUGGUGACCACAUGAGGAGCCUAGGCUUUCAUCCCCUGCUGGCUGUAAUGAAGUAUAUCUUUCCUAUCCCACUGGGAUGGUGUCAGAGGAGGCCUAGUGGAGAGUUAGGACUUUCUACAUCACCCAGCAGUAAUGAGGCCAAAUCCACACUAAUAGUUUCAGCAACCAUUAAAAAGGCUACAUAGAGAGAUGUAAAUCAAAGUGGGCUUCUACUAUAUGUUCAAGUAACCCAUAGGAAGAUAGAGGACCAACCCCUACUCCUCCCCUGCACAGAGAUGCAGAAAUUAGUGAACAAACAAAAGAAAAAAACAUACAAACAGAUUUAAACCCUCAACAUAACAAUAAUAAAUUAAAUGUAAAUAGCCCAAACAUACCAAUUUAAAGACAGAGAUUGACAGAAUGAAUUUAAAAAUAUGACCGAACUAUAUGCUGUUAUAAGAAACUUAUUUCAAAUAUAAUGAUACAGGCAAACUGAAAGCAAAGGGAUGAAAAAAGACAUAAUAUGAAAAUAUU